rnacentral:rRNA from 1 species
UACGUAGGGUGCGAGCGUUGAUCGGAAUUACUGGGCGUAAAGCGUGCGCAGGCGGUUUUGUAAGCCAGAUGUGAAAUCCCCGGGCUUAACCUGGGAAUGGCAUUUGGGACUGCAAGGCUUGAGUGCGGCAGAGGAGACUGGAAUUCCUGGUGUAGCAGUGAAAUGCGUAGAUAUCAGGAGGAACACCGAUGGCGAAGGCAGGUCUCUGGGCUGACACUGACGCUCAUGCACGAAAGCGUGGGGAGCAAACAGG